GCGAAGGUGGCGGAAUUGGCAGACGCGCUAGAUUCAGGUUCUAGUGGGCAAUAAAAACGCCCGUGGGGGUUCGAAUCCCUUCCUUCGCACCA
rnacentral:tRNA from 1 species